rnacentral:rRNA from 1 species
UACGGAGGGUGCAAGCGUUAUCCGGAUUUACUGGGUUUAAAGGGUGCGUAGGCGGGCCUUUAAGUCAGUGGUGAAAUCCUCCGACUCAAUCGGAGAACUGCCAUUGAUACUAUUGGUCUUGAAUACAGUUGAGGUGGGCGGAAUGUGUCGUGUAGCGGUGAAAUGCUUAGAUAUGACACAGAACACCGAUUGCGAAGGCAGCUCGCUAAACUGAUAUUGACGCUGAGGCACGAAAGCGUGGGGAUCAAACAGG